rnacentral:snRNA from 1 species
GUGCUUGCUUUGCAGCACAUAUACUAAAAUUUGGAACGACACAGAGACUAUUAGCAUGGCCCCUGUGCAAGGAUGAUAUGCAAAUUUGUGAAGCAAUCCAUUAAAAA